GUUACAUCAUUAAGGAACCCCAUGUCCUUAUUUACAUAUCAAGAAUCAAGGACCCUCAAGUCCGAUCACAUGUUUACAAAUAUAGUACUGGAGAGACUGCUAGCUCUCAUAUCAAUAUCAUCAUCAAGGAUCUUCAAGUCCUGAUGUAGUUGUAUGAUGAGGAUCAAGAAACUUCUGGUUCUGAUCUGUAUCCUUGUAAAAAAAACUCAUCAUACCACACAAUUAAUCCAUAAAAUAAAUUGCUUGUAAAUUAAAUUAUUGGUAAAUGAAUUGCUUGUAUGGACGAUAAACCCGCACCAUACGUUAAAUAAAAGUAAAUGUACGGUAAAGUAAAUUCAUAAAGUAUGAGGGUUAAUUCUUCAUCAUACUUUAAGUAAAAGUAAAUGUGCAGUAAAGUAAAUUCAUAAAGUAUGAGGGUUAAUUCCUCAUCAUACUUUAAGUAAAAGUAAAUGUGCGAUAAAAUAAAUUACUUGCUAUAUGGACGUUAAUUCCGCACCAUAUCUUAAAUAAAAUUAAAUGUGCGGUAAAGUAAAUUCAUAAAGUAUGAGGGUUAAUUCCUCAUCAUACUUUAAGUAAAAGUAAAUGUGCGAUAAAAUAAAUUGCUUGCUAUAUGGACGUUAAUUCCGCACCAUAUCUUAAAUAAAAUUAAAUGUGCGGUAAAGUAAAUUCAUAAAGUAUGAGGGUUAAUUCCUCAUCAUACUUUAAGUAAAAGUAAAUGUGCGAUAAAAUAAAUUGCUUGCUAUAUGGACGUUAAUUCCGCACCAUAUCUUAAAUAAAAUUAAAUGUGCGGUAAAGUAAAUUCAUAAAGUAUGAGGGUUAGUUCCACAUCAUACUUUAAGUAAAAGUAAAUUUACGAUAAAGUAAACGUACUUGUAUGGGCACUAAUUCUGCUCCAUACAUUUAAAUAAAAGUAAAGGCGUGGACGAUAAACCCGCACCACCCUUUUAAAUAAAUACUGUUGUAUGGGUAAUAAACCUACACCAUACAGUAAAUAAAAUAAAUGUGCGGUAAAGUAAAUUUCAUAAAGUAUAAAUAAUAGUGCAGCAAAAAAAUUAUACCUGAGAGCUUCUCGUGCUGAUAACGUGUUAUAAAAUUACUGAGAUAUGUGUGAAUAUUGAGCUGCACGUCAAGUAAAUGAGACACAGUAUUUAACGAGGUUCGGUUAUGCCUACAUCCCCGG
rnacentral:lncRNA from 1 species